rnacentral:rRNA from 1 species
AACGAACGCUGGCGGCAUGCCUAACACAUGCAAGUCGAACGAGACCUUCGGUCUAGUGGCGCACGGGUGCGUAACGCGUGGGAAUCUGCCCUUGGGUUCGGAAUAACAGUUAGAAAUGACUGCUAAUACCGGAUAAUGUCUUCGGACCAAAGAUUUAUCGCCCAGGGAUGAGCCCGCGUAGGAUUAGCUAGUUGGUGAGGUAAAGGCUCACCAAGGCGACGAUCCUUAGCUGGUCUGAGAGGAUGAUCAGCCACACUGGGACUGAGACACGGCCCAGACUCCUACGGGAGGCAGCAGUGGGGAAUAUUGGGACAAUGGGCGAAAGCCUGAUCCAGCAAUGCCGCGUGAGUGAUGAAGGCCUUAGGGUUGUAAAGCUCUUUUACCCGGGAUGAUAACGACAGUACCGGGAGAAUAAGCUCCGGCUAACUCCGUGCCAGCAGCCGCGGUAAU